rnacentral:sRNA from 16 species
CCAAAAACAAAAACUAAUCAUCUGAAAGAGCGGCAAUCUAAAAUUACAUUUUAGGUUGUUUAGCUCGUCAGAUGAUUAGUUUUUACCCUAAGUGGGUACCCACUUAG